rnacentral:rRNA from 1 species
AUUGAACGCUGGCGGCAUGCCUUACACAUGCAAAUCGAACGGUAACGGGCCUUCGGGUGCCGACGAGUGGCGAACGGGUGAGUAAUACAUCGGAACGUGCCCGAUCGUGGGGGAUAACGAGGCGAAAGCUUUGCUAAUACCGCAUACGAUCUACGGAUGAAAGCAGGGGACCGCAAGGCCUUGCGCGGACGGAGCGGCCGAUGGCAGAUUAGGUAGUUGGUGGGAUAAAAGCUUACCAAGCCGACGAUCUGUAGCUGGUCUGAGGAUGAUCAGCCACACUGGGACUGAGACACGGCCCAGACUCCUACGGGAGGCAGCAGUGGGGAAUUUUGGACAAUGGGCGCAAGCCUGAUCCAGCCAUGCCGCGUGCAGGAUGAAGGCCUUCGGGUUGUAAACUGAUUUUGUACGGAACGAAAAGCCUUCUUUUAAUACAGGAGGGUCAUGACGGUACCGUAAGAAUAAGCACCGGCUAACUACGUG